UGCCAUAUCACGUUGAAGUACCGGUUCCCCUACGAUAACUGAAGUUAAGAAACGUAGGGCUUGGUCAAGAUGGGUGACCGUUUGGGAAUACCACGUGAUGUAAG